rnacentral:misc_RNA from 1 species
GCAACAACCUCCGCUUCUUCAGUCAUGGGGCGGCUAAAGUUAUCCAUCAGUGUCACAUCUAUAUCAAAGUUUCUCCGACAGGAGGCCUUUCCACCAACAAUGCUCCAAACACCAUCACUGUCUUCUUCAAUUUCAUAGGCGCUUGAACUAUCAAUAGAUAGUUGUACUGGAGGGUCCUUAACAUAGUGAUUUUCUAUAGUUGAUAGCAUAGGAAAGAGCUCUGAACUGUGGACAUAACCAUCCAGCUGAGAAUUCUUUCCAGUAAUGCAAGUCAAAGAUAUUCUAGAAUUGUCUGAUCCCAUAUCAUUACUAAGUGA